UACGUAGGUCCCGAGCGUUGUCCGGAUUUAUUGGGCGUAAAGCGAGCGCAGGUGGUUUAUUAAGUCUGGUGUAAAAGGCAGUGGCUCAACCAUUGUAUGCAUUGGAAACUGGUAGACUUGAGUGCAGGAGAGGAGAGUGGAAUUCCAUGUGUAGCGGUGAAAUGCGUAGAUAUAUGGAGGAACACCGGUGGCGAAAGCGGCUCUCUGGCCUGUAACUGGCACUGAGCCUCGAAAGCGUGGGGAGCAAACAGG
rnacentral:rRNA from 1 species